GAUGAACGCUGGCGGCGUGCUUAACACAUGCAAGUCGAGCGAUGAAGUUUCCUUCGGGAAACGGAUUAGCGGCGGACGGGUGAGUAACACGUGGGUAACCUGCCUCAUAGAGUGGAAUAGCCUUCCGAAAGGAAGAUUAAUACCGCAUAAUGUUGAAAGAUGGCAUCAUCAUUCAACCAAAGGAGCAAUCCGCUAUGAGAUGGACCCGCGGCGCAUUAGCUAGUUGGUGGGGUAACGGCCUACCAAGGCGACGAUGCGUAGCCGACCUGAGAGGGUGAUCGGCCACAUUGGGACUGAGACACGGCCCAGACUCCUACGGGAGGCAGCAGUGGGGAAUAUUGCACAAUGGGGGAAACCCUGAUGCAGCAACGCCGCGUGAGUGAUGAAGGUUUUCGGAUCGUAAAGCUCUGUCUUUGGGGAAGAUAAUGA
rnacentral:rRNA from 1 species